rnacentral:rRNA from 1 species
UACGUAGGGUGCGAGCGUUGUCCGGAAUUAUUGGGCGUAAAGAGCUCGUAGGCGGUGUGUCACGUCGGCCGUGAAAACCUGGGGCUUAACUCUGGGCGUGCGGUCGAUACGGGCAUCACUAGAGUUCGGCAGGGGAGACUGGAAUUCCUGGUGUAGCGGUGAAAUGCGCAGAUAUCAGGAGGAACACCGGUGGCGAAGGCGGGUCUCUGGGCAACAACUGACGCUGAGGAGCGAAAGCGUGGGGAGCGAACAGG